AUUCUGCCCAAGCGGGGAAGGAUGAGAAGCUUCGACCAAGGUUCGACUCGAGCGCCAGCGAGAGAGCGUUGCCGCAGGC
rnacentral:sRNA from 1 species